rnacentral:rRNA from 1 species
CCAAUAGCGUAUAUUAAAGUUGUUGCAGUUAAAAAGCUCGUAGUUGAAUUUCGGGGUCAGCAAGUUGGUCGUGCCACUGGUAUGUACUGGCUUUGCUGAUUCCUCCUUCUUGUAGAACCGUAAUGCCAUUAAUUUGGUGUUGCGGGAAAACAGGACUGUUACUUUGAAAAAAUUAGAGUGUUUAAAGCAGGCUAACGCUUGAAUACAUUAGCAUGGAAUAAUGAAAUAGGACGACGAUCCUAUUUUGUUGGUUUCUAGGAUUGACGUAAUGAUUAAUAGGGAUAGUUGGGGGCAUUAGUAUUCAAUUGUCAGAGGUGAAAUUCUUGGAUUUAUUGAAGACUGACUACUGCGAAAGCAUUUGUCAAGGAUGUUUUCAUUAAUCAAGAACGAAAGUUAGGGGAUCGAAGACGAUCAGAUACCGUCGUAGUCUUAACCAUAAACUAUGCCGACUAGGGAUCGGAUGAUGUUAAUUUUAUAAUGACUCAUUCGGCGCCUUACG